GGGGUCAUUUUUUUUGUCUUGGUGUGAUGUUUUUUGUUAUGAGUUUGUUACCAAUAGAAAAAAGAGUAAAAAGGAUACGUGGGGUAUGGGGUUGGCAGGGCAGUGAGGUAGGAGGUGGGGUAGGAUAGGUUGCUAGGAUGUUUAAAAGAAGAUAAAAUUUGUUAGAAUUUGUUAAAUGUGAUAAAGAUUAAAAAAAAUGAUGAGGGGGUUAUUUAUUUUAUUUUCUUGUGGAAAAAUUACCACGCGGAUAGGUUACGUGGUAAGAUGGGGUAAACGGUAAAAAAUGCUUUCGGAGAGGGAUAAAAUUGCGUGUCUACUAUAGUCCAACUCCACAUACUUCGUUCGUUCAUGAAAGACCGAAUUUUUGGCAAUAUGAAGAGCAGCCUGACUGUCGGAAUGAAUAGGAAUCAGCAAAAUCGGUGGUGCGGAUAGAUCAUCCAAGAGUCGCACCAACCAGGUGCUCCACCUAGAGCAAUGUAAAAUCCAUUUACACAUCUUCUUAUAUCCUUGCAAGAACUCCAAUCUACGUCACAAAAGGCCAACAAAUCAAGGAAUGGAUCAGCUGAGAGUAGGAUUCCUUGUACCGGAUCUGCUCGAAGAAGGAAAAGUUUUGCUCCACUGGUUUGCCCAAACCUAUGCUCCAAGCUUAACCACAGAUCUCUAGCUGUUUUGGAUAUAUGACACUGUCCCCUAUGUCCCUUGAUACUGAAUUUAGGAGCCAAGAGGUGACCAUGUGAUUGCAUCGACUCCACUGCUGGUAGGUUGGAUCGUUGACAUCUGGUGGGGUUAGAGUUCCAUUCAUGAAGCCUUGCUUGUUCUUAGCUGAAAGUGCUAUGAACACAGAUCUACGCCAUCCUGGGAAACCUCUUCCAUCAAAUGGAGUAUUGACAAGGUUUUGUCCAGGUGCAUCUUAGGUUUGAAGGUGAUAAGGAUGAUUGACAUCAACACAAUUUCCAUUCCCAGAUCCACUUCUAGAUCCAGUGUUGAUGGAGUUGCUUGGUGUUUCAUCUCCCAUGGUGAUGAUGAUGAAGGUCUGGAGAUUAACAGGGAUUUUAAGAUGGUGGAUUAUUGCAAACUAGUUGGAUUAAUACGAUUGCUUUGAUACCAUAUAUGAAAGAAAAGUAAUAUGAAGAAUGAGUUGCAAAAAUUUUGUACUCCUUGAUUCAUUUGCUUCUUGUGUAUAUAUACAAGGGUUUUGUGUAUAAAGAAAAACAGACUGGAAAAUACUCUUUACACUUGUCCUAUUUCUAUUCCUCUAUUCUAUAACAUAAUUUUAUUCCUCCA